rnacentral:rRNA from 1 species
CCCUUAGAUGUUCUGGGCCGCACGCGCGCUACACUGAUGCAUUCAACGAGUCUAAAACCUGCUCUGAUAGGGGUGGGUAAUCUUUUGAAUGUGCAUCGUGAUUGGGAUAGAUGAUUGCAAUUUUUCAUCUUCAACGAGGAAUGCCUAGUAAACGCAAGUCAUCAGCUUGCAUUGAUUACGUCCCUGCCCUUUGUACACACCGCCCGUCGCUCCUACCUAUUGAAUGAUCCGAUGAAUAUCAUGGAUUGAGGAUGCAAGCAGGUUCGCCUGUCUUCAUCUUCGAGAAGUGAAGUAAAUCUUAUCAUUUAGAGGAAGGAGAAGUCGUAACA